GAUGAACGCUGGCGGCGUGCCUAAUACAUGCAAGUCGAGCGAACAGAUAAGGAGCUUGCUCCUUUGACGUUAGCGGCGGACGGGUGAGUAACACGUGGGUAACCUACCUAUAAGACUGGAAUAACUCCGGGAAACCGGGGCUAAUGCAGGAUAACAUGUUGAACCGCAUGGUUCUACAGUGAAAGGCGGCUUUGCUGUCACUUAUAGAUGGACCCGCGCCGUAUUAGCUAGUUGGUGAGGUAACGGCUCACCAAGGCAACGAUACGUAGCCGACCUGAGAGGGUGAGCGGCAACACGGGAGCAGAGACGGGGUCAAGACCCCGAGGGGAGGAAGAAGGAGGGAAUCUUAAGAAAGGGGAAAAAGCCGGAAGGAGAAAGGCGGGGGGAGUAAAGAGGGUUUUCGGAUCGAAAAACUCUUUUAUGGGGAAAAAAAAAAGGCGAAAGAACUGGGGCGCGUUUUGAGGGAACAUAAUAAAAAAGCCACGGCAAACUCCGGG
rnacentral:rRNA from 1 species